UAAAAGCAAAGGUGCGUUUCAGCGAAGAUGCCGCGAGCUGUCCGACGCAGGAUAGAAAGAGAGCGAACCAAACGUAAAACGAAAGGCGAAGAAGAACCAGAAGGGGGCCAAGUGGGAGAAGGAGAAAAAUUGUACGACAAAAGAAGAAGGAAAAAAAAGAGAGGUUCCGAUACAAUUACUCCGAUGAUUAACCAAAGGAUCAAUUAAUUUUUUCCCGUUUAUCCUAACGGAACCGUAAUCGCAUCGAUCCAUCAUAUUUCAAUUGAACCACGAAUUAAUAUGUCACUUACCAGGCAGAAGGCGAAUCGA
rnacentral:misc_RNA from 1 species